GGGCCUGUAGCUCAGCGGAUAGAGCGCGAGGUUCCUAACCUCGAAGUCAAGGGUUCAAAUCCCUUCAGGUCCG
rnacentral:tRNA from 1 species